rnacentral:rRNA from 1 species
AUUCAGAGAUGGAUUUGUGCCUUCGGGAACCGUGAGACAGGUGCUGCAUGGCUGUCGUCAGCUCGUGUUGUGAAAUGUUGGGUUAAGUCCCGCAACGAGCGCAACCCUUAUCCUUUGUUGCCAGCGGUUAGGCCGGGAACUCAAAGGAGACUGCCAGUGAUAAACUGGAGGAAGGUGGGGAUGACGUCAAGUCAUCAUGGCCCUUACGACCAGGGCUACACACGUGCUACAAUGGCGCAUACAAAGAGAAGCGACCUCGCGAGAGCAAGCGGAUCUCAUAAAGUGCGUCGUAGUCCGGAUUGGAGUCUGCAACUCGACUCCAUGAAGUCGGAAUCGCUAGUAAUCGUGGAUCAGAAUGCCACGGUGAAUACGUUCCCGGGCCUUGUACACACCGCCCGUCACACCAUGGGAGUGGGUUGCAAAAGAAGUAGGUAGCUUAACCUUCGGGAGGGCGCUUACCACUUUGUGAUUCAUGACUGGGGUGAAGUCGUAACAAGGUAACCGUAGGGGAACCUGCGGUUGGAUCACCUCCUUA